rnacentral:sRNA from 1 species
GAGUCCCCGGCGUGCAGUGGAGCCUCGCUGGGGGAAAUGACAGCUUGGACCAUGGGCGCCCGCGGUCUGGACAAGCGAGGAAGUUUCUUUAAGAGAAUAACAGAAGAGCUCUCUGACACCACAAAGACUAGACCUGCGACUAGCUUUGAAGAAACUACAUUGCUGAAAUCUGGCUAUACCGAAUAGAUGAACCAGUGGGUGAUGAUUCACUUGACCUCAGCUGAGUUCCCUCAACUAUUGGUCUCUUCUUGGCAUUUGAAAAAGUAUUCAAUUUUCAAAAA